rnacentral:rRNA from 1 species
UACGUAGGGCGCAAGCGUUAUCCGGAAUUAUUGGGCGUAAAGAGCGCGUAGGCGGUUUGUCGCGUCUGCCGUGAAAGUCCGGGGCUCAACUCCGGAUCUGCGGUGGGUACGGGCAGACUAGAGUGAUGUAGGGGAGACUGGAAUUCCUGGUGUAGCGGUGAAAUGCGCAGAUAUCAGGAGGAACACCGAUGGCGAAGGCAGGUCUCUGGGCAUUAACUGACGCUGAGGAGCGAAAGCAUGGGGAGCGAACAGG